CACGUGCUGAAGGAAACAAUGUAUAUAUAACCAGAAUUUUCAAAAAGAAUUAAUGGGUAAAAUACAAGUGACAUUCAAUCUUAAGCUCGACGAAUGGGACCACAGAUCGGAGAAGAUGACCCGACGUCUAGGGAAUUCGAAUUUUCUCCGCUAUCAGCAAGUAGUGGUAUAGAUACGGCGUUCAAAGACAGAUCAGUCAAGACGAACAGUUGACGGAUGUUUCAUUUCUUCAUCAGAUUCCAGCCAGUACGUCAAGGUUACAGUGUGUUUUCGGUGUAUCUAUAAGGUCAUUCUUAGAAACAUCAGACAGUUGAGCGCCCUCUGGUAGUCGGCGCAUUUUCAGCUUUGAGCGCCCUCUGAUAGUCGGCGCAUUUCCGGGAAGCUGGUGAUACAGCGCAAUCUGGAAAAAAAAUGAGACAGACGUCGCUGUCUAACCUCGAGGAAAUCGACUGCAAGUGAAACUAUUUAGCAAAGUAUACGAAUAUAACAUGGAUUUUUAAGAUCUUCAUUGUUGAAGAAAUUUCAUGUAACAUGGUGCUGCCUUCCAGCCGCAUUGAAAUUAUAAAAAUGAGAUUAGUGUUUUGUAUUUUCACAUCCUAAAUGAAAUUCAGCAGCGUUAAAGACACGCCUCAAAAUAACUGUCUUCUUUCGUAUUUCAGUGAUAAUAGUAAUACCUAAUGCCUAAAAAAUAUUAGGUAUACAAGCAUUUAGUUUCAAAUUGACAGUGACAUAUAUUAAGCCAAGACGAUGAGUUAAAUGUCUUAAUAUUUUAUUGUAUAAUUAAAUGUAGCAAUAUGUACAUAAGUCAGUGUAUUUAGUUAAAUUUCAA
rnacentral:lncRNA from 1 species